AUGUUAACAUCCUGCAGGCCCUCGGAAAGCCAAGCCUCACGCCGCGAGGGAGGCGGCCAGGAGCCUCGGCGCAGCCCGGGGGCCUCGACCCGGCGUCCCCCACCCACCGGGCAGGGCUGGUCCCCGGCCACACAAAGGACCAGCCGCGGGCGCUGGACGCAGGGACUCGUCCCGGGCCGGGAGCCACAUCUGGUCCCCGCACGCCGCGAGGACGAGACCCGCCGGAAAAUAAGGAUUAACGCCCGAACCUGUUGCACCACGCGGGUCCCUUUCACCCAGAAAGGAACAAGGACGCCCGGGACCGGAGGCGCGGGCCGCGGCCACCCCGGCAGGCGGCGCGGAGGCAGGGGCGGCCCGCGGGCUCCCACCUCCGGCGCUUUGUCUGCGGUGGCGGUGGCGGUGGCGGUGGCGGCGGCGGCGCGGGGGCGCCCCUCCCUCNNNNNNNNNNNNNNNNNNNNCGGCCCGCGCCGGCGAAGAAAGCCGGGCCCGCCGCCGCCUCCGCCCGCCCUCGCCGCCCGCCGCGGGGCCUGCGCGCUCCUCCCGCCCGGGUCGCCCGGGCCGCGCGGCGGCCGCACUCACCUGGCUGGUGCUGGCGCGGGCGCUGGCGGCCGGCGGCUCCGGGAGGACGCGGGGACCCGGGAAGGCGCGGGCGGAGAGGAGGGUGAGGCGGGAGGAAGGCGGGCUGGGGGCGGAGCGGGCCCGGGCGGCGGCGGCUCCAGUCACUCGCUCAAAUCGCGUCCUGGCCCCUCCGUGCGUCAGGCGAGGGACGGCGGCGCGGGCGGCCCGGCGACCUCCCGCCACCCGCGGCCCGACCCGCGUCCGCGCCGCCCCGCGCGCGCCCGGGGUGCGGCGGCGCAGCGACCCCGCCCGGCCGGGAAGGGGGCGGGGCGGAGAGUCCCCCGGGGCUGGGGCGUGGGGGCUGGGCGAGGAGGGGGCCGCCCACGCCCCCGCAGACCCUGCGAGCCUCCCCGCGCGCAGAGCUCCGACCUCCCAAACCCGCAGGCAGUGCCGGGUCGUGGGAGGAGCACUGGACCUAGAGUCAGGAAGGACCCCGUUACUCGACGUCUUGCGAGUCGUUUGUCCUCUCUGUCCUCAUCCUGA
rnacentral:lncRNA from 1 species